AUUCCCAGUGAAAGAUUCUCAAGUAUCGGCAUUCUUUUCAGCCCGAAACGAGGUGUUUCUCUUGAAACAUAGAGCGCGCUGUGAAGCCAGUGAUUUUUCACGAGGUCGGUAUUUCAGUUAGCGCGGUUCACCAUCUAGACGUUGGAUCUGUCCUACACCUCAUGUGCGAUGCGAUUUGAAAAAGUGGCGGAAGAACGUCCGCGACGAGCGCGUUUCGUGGGAGAACCGUUGAUCGUUGCGGUGCUCUUGGUACGGCUCGCAGGAGGAGAAACGAUUUUAAAUUGCUGUCAAGUCGGGUCAUGGUCGGAUCGAUUCUCGGAGUUAGGCGCAAUUGCGCGACGUCGAUUCGUGAACAGAAGAAAUAAGGCCUUUAUUGCCAUACCGCUAAACCCGUAAUCGCUUUUCGAUUAAAACAAAAAACGCUCGCUUAGGCCUCAGCGCAUGGAGUGGAAUCGAUAACGACACUUUACUGAUAGAAACAUUAAGACAUUAUUCGUGUCGAUUACAAGAUAUCUCAGGAAUCAGUAGACCCCAUCGUUAUUCCACAAGAAAAGAAGGCGAACCAUACAGCAACUUCUCGGCCGUCGCAGGGCAGCUUCAUUAUCUGAUUUCAGAGGAACCAUUGUGAUCCCACAAUCAAUAGAAAUCUUCCAUUCAAUCAGUUCACCAGAAAGGAAUGGAAGAUGACCCCUAAAGAAGUCAGAUCUCAGAAGUUAGAUCUCUUAUACAUUGAGACGAUUUGAGAAAGUGUCAGCAUAAUAUGUAAAUGGGAAAAAGAAAUGAUGGUAGACGCGUUUCGUUAGUAAUGGAAACGUGAUCAGAGAACGCAUUGUGGGAAGUCGCUUCUUAAAGCGUAUUAACCAGUCAGCGGGAGGAAAAUAUGCCACGGUCGGAUGAUCUGUGAAUGGAUAAAUGAGUGGACAGGGCAGAUUAAAUUAUAAAACGUUCAUAGCGUAAUAGCGUGCCGCGAGUACGAGGUUAUUGUUGAAGAUGGUCAUUAGGUGGACGACGAUAAUUUUGUUAUGCAUCACGGCGAAAAAAUGCGACGAGCGUGCGACUGACUCGUAAAGACGAAAUGUAAACACGCUGGUCUAUGAUUUGUGUCUGCACCUUGCGCAAACAAUCUCGGUUAUUUUGUUGUCACUGCGGUAUUCGUGUUAAAUCUACGAAAUAAUGAUAUAAAUGCUCGUCGUUCGAAUCGACUGCCUGGGUA